rnacentral:rRNA from 1 species
AAACUUUACAGUGCGGGAAACCGUGAUAAGGGGACACCGAGUGCUAGCAUCAUAUGCUGGCUGUCCAGGUGUACACCUGUAGCAAGGGCCGGCAAGACCGGUGCCAGCCGCCGCGGUAACACCGGCGGCCCGAGUGGUGAUCGUGAUUAUUGGGUCUAAAGGGUCCGUAGCCGGUUUGGUCAGUCCUCCGGGAAAUCCACCUGCUUAACAGAUGGGCUGCGGAAGAUAC